rnacentral:rRNA from 1 species
GAUGAACGCUAGCGGCAGGCCUAACACAUGCAAGUCGAGGGGUAGUUACUUUCGGGUAAUGAGACCGGCGCACGGGUGCGUAACGCGUAUGCAAUCUACCUUUUACAGAGGGAUAGCCCAGAGAAAUUUGGAUUAAUACCUCAUAGAAUAAUAAAAUGGCAUCAUUUAAUUAUUAAAGUUCCAACGGUAAAAGAUGAGCAUGCGUCCCAUUAGUUAGUUGGUAAGGUAACGGCUUACCAAGACGAUGAUGGGUAGGGGUCCUGAGAGGGAGAUCCCCCACACUGGUACUGAGACACGGACCAGACUCCUACGGGAGGCAGCAGUGAGGAAUAUUGGUCAAUGGGCGCAAGCCUGAACCAGCCAUGCCGCGUGCAGGAAGACGGUCCUAUGGAUUGUAAACUGCUUUUAUACAGGAAGAAACAGUCCCUCGUGAGGGAUCUUGACGGUACUGUAAGAAUAAGGAUCGGCUAACUCCGUG